UUUAUGGCGCCACCAGGUGGAAAGGCGGGAAAAGCGCGGCGGGAGAGGCCACGCCCACAAGGCGGACACGUCAAUCAAACACAAACCACGCCCACAACGGGUACGCCAAUCAACAAAGGAACCGCCCAUCGCUAAAGCCACGCCCGCAAACGGACACAUCAAUCAAGGAAAGCCCCGCCCAUUGUUAUAGCCCUGCCCACAAACGGGCACAUCAAUCAAAAACCUGUCAAAAAAACAUCAAUCAGUCCAUGGGUCUGUCCAGGUGUGUCCAUGGGUCCACCCAGGUGUGUCCAGGUGUGUCCAUCCAGGUGUGU
rnacentral:lncRNA from 1 species